AUAACGAGGAACGGCCACGGCUAGGCAGUGACUAUGGUUCCUUAGGUUGUAUUUGAUGGCUCGGAAUAAUUUUAGGCGAUCGAGGUCCGGGGGCCCGGACCUACUCGGAAGGCGUGGGCUAUAGCAUACGAAAAUAUGGGAAUCGGGCGGAAUUCUAGUAUUUUGGCCGUAUAACGCAAGAAACGAGGAACGGUCAUGGAGGGGCGGUGACUAUGGUUCGAUAGGUGGUAUUUGAUAGCCCAGAAAUAUUUUAGGCGAUCGGGGUCCGGGGGGCCCGGAACUCAUUAGGAAGGCGUGGGCUAUAACAUACGAAAAUAUAGGAAUCGGGCGAAAUUCUAGUUUUUUUAUCGUAAAACGGAAAACAACGAGGAACGGUCAUGGCAGGGCGGUGACUAUGGUUCUUUAGGACCAUUUUUGAUGGCCCAAAUAAAUUUUAGGCAAUCGGGGUCCGGGUGGCCCGGACCCACUCGGAAGGCGUGGGCUUAGCACACAAAAAUAUGAGAAUCGGGCGGAAUUCUAGUUUUUUGGCCGUAAAACGCAAAACAACGAGGAACGACCAUGGUGGGGCGGUGACUAUGGUCCCUUAGGUCGUAUUUGAUAGCCCGAAAAUAUUUUAGGCGAUCGGGGUCCGGGGGGUCCGGAACCCACUAGGAAGGCGUGGGCUAUAGCACACGAAUAUAU
rnacentral:lncRNA from 1 species